rnacentral:rRNA from 1 species
CCUACGGGAGGCUGCAGUGAGGAAUAUUGGUCAAUGGCCGAGAGGCUGAACCAGCCAAGUCGCGUGAGGGAAGACGGCCCUACGGGUUGUAAACCUCUUUUGUCGGGGAGCAAAGCGAACCACGUGUGGUUCAUUGAGAGUACCCGAAGAAAAAGCAUCGGCUAACUCCGUGCCAGCAGCCGCGGUAAUACGGAGGAUGCGAGCGUUAUCCGGAUUUAUUGGGUUUAAAGGGUGCGCAGGCGGAGGUGCAAGUCGGCGGUCAAAUUGCGGGGCUCAACCCCGGGACUGCAUUUGGAACUGUGUGGCUGGAGUGUCGGAGAGGCAGGCGGAAUUCCUAGUGUAGCGGUGAAAUGCUUAGAGAUCAUACAGAACACCGAUUGCGAAGGCAGCUUACCAAUCUAUAUCUGACGUUGAGGCACGAAAGCGUGGGGAGCAAACAGGAUUAGAUACCCUUGUAGUC